rnacentral:rRNA from 1 species
GACGAACGCUGGCGGCGUGCCUAACACAUGCAAGUCGAACGGAACUGUUUUGAAAGAUUUCUUCGGAAUGAAUUUGAUUUAGUUUAGUGGCGGACGGGUGAGUAACGCGUGAGUAACCUGCCUUCAAGAGGGGAAUAACAUUCUGAAAAGAAUGCUAAUACCGCAUGACAUAUCGGAACCACAUGGUUUUGAUAUCAAAGAUUUUAUCGCUUGAAGAUGGACUCGCGUCCGAUUAGUUAGUUGGUGAGGUAACGGCUCACCAAGACCGCGAUCGGUAGCCGGACUGAGAGGUUGAACGGCCACAUUGGGACUGAGACACGGCCCAGACUCCUACGGGAGGCAGCAGUGGGGGAUAUUGCGCAAUGGGCAACCCUGACGCAGCAACGCCGCGUGAAGGAUGAAGGUUUUCGGAUUGUAAACUUCUUUUAUUAAGGACGAAAAAUGACGGUACUUAAUGAAUAAGCUCCGGCUAACUACGUG